GGUGGCUCAGUGGUAGAGUGCUUGCCUUGCAUGCAUGAGGCCCUGGGUUCAAUGACUCAGCACCA
rnacentral:tRNA from 1 species